rnacentral:rRNA from 1 species
AAUCAACGCUGGCGGCGUGCCUCAGACAUGCAAGUCGAACGCGAAAGUCCCCCUCGGGGGACAAGUAGAGUGGCGCACGGGUGAGUAACACGUAGGUAAUCUACCUUCGGGUGGGGAAUAACAAUCGGAAACGGUUGCUAAUACCGCAUAAUGCAGCGGCACCUAAUGGUGACAGUUGUUAAAGCGGGGGAGUCGCAAGAUCUCGCGCCUGAAGAGGAGCCUGCGGCGGAUUAGCUAGUUGGUAGGGGUAAUGGCCUACCGAGGCGACGAUCCGUAGCCGGCCUGGAGG